rnacentral:rRNA from 1 species
UACGUAGGCAGCAAGCGUUGUUCGGAGUUACUGGGGCGUAAAGGGUGUGUAGGCGGUUGCUUAAGUUUGGUGUGAAAUCUCCCGGCUCAACUGGGAGGGUGCGCCGAAUACUGAGUGACUCGAGUGCGGGAGAGGAAAGUGGAAUUCCUGGUGUAGCGGUGAAAUGCGUAGAUAUCAGGAGGAACACCGGUGGUGUAGACGGCUUUCUGGACCGUAACUGACGCUGAGACACGAAAGCGUGGGUAGCAAACAGG